ensembl:lncRNA
GUUCAGUGUGGUGUUUGCUCCUGCCGUGUGUCGUUAUGAUUAUCAGUGUCACCUGUGUCCCCAUGUGCUUCUACUUCCCUCGUUAACCCACUGUGUAUUUAUGUCCACGUCUCCCUCAGUUCUGUGUUGCGUUGUCAAUGUCUCUUCCCUGAACCUGUGUGCCUUUCUGUGUUCCCUUGGUCCUCAGUUUAGCAUUCCUAGUUUAGUUCUGUUUCUUUGUGAAGCCUGCAAUAAAGCAGUGAUUUUGAGUUCAGCUUUUGUCUCCGUGAGUUUUGCAUUUGGGUCCUCAUCUGCCUCCACACAGCCAGUUCGUGACAGUACGACGCGACAGUACGACGUGACCAGUCAUUGACCCAGCAAACUCCCUAUGGAAUCGGCAGUGUGCAGACUCCACCUUUACUAACGAGAGGACCAGGCAGGAGUCUCGGCAUGCCUGGGAGCGCGAGUCCACCUUUUAUGACUCGGUUGGCUCUAGGUGGGUCGCUCAGCCUUCAAACUGCAAAUGCUACUGCCUUUUCUUCACCUCGUCCCCCGGUGAUAAGAGUUGGAGGAUUUAGUCUGUGGCCUGCCACAAUUCCUCCGGCCUCCUCAACCUCCAGCUCACCUCCACAAUUGCCACCCACGUCCCGCGCAAAGAAGGGGGGGUACUCGGCGGCCGAGGAGAGAUUUUGUGCCUCCAACGAGCAGCCCAUCUCCGCUGCAGUCCUUUGUGCUUUUCCUGGGACUUCCACGCUCGGAGCUGCACAAGCUCCCUGGCUCUUCGACGCAGCCCGGCCCGUCUUCGGCUCAGUCAGCCGACGUCUCAGAGGUGCCUACGUCUACGGCCCCAGCAACUCACGGCACAGUUCCCAGGAAAAAACGAUGCUCACGCCGUUGUCACCCUAAAGUUACUGAGCAAACUCUGGUGGCUGGCGGACGCUCUGUUCAUCUCUGCACCCGUACCUGCUCCUCGGAUGGGGUUGACGGACACCCAGCCGUUGCCUGCGCCUGUUCUGGUUCCCCAGGUGAGGGCAACUGUGACCCUGCCGACUCCUGCAUCUGUUUCAGUUAAUCGGGUGGGAGCAGCAGUGGUUCAGCCAGCUCCUGCACCUACACCGGCUCCCAGGGUAAGGGCAGCCAGAGCCCAGUUCAUCCCUGCACCCGUAUCUGUUCCUCGGGUGGGGAUGGCUGGUGUUCGGCCAGGCCCAGUACCCGUUCUUGUUCCCCGGAGGAGAGCGGCCAAGAGUGAGACCACCUGCUCAGUCACAAGUUCAGCUACCUGCUCAUCCACCAUCUCUACAACCAUCAUCACAACCACCACUACAACUUGUACUUUUAUCCAUAGCGUAGUCAUUAGCUCAGUUAUUAGCUCAGUUUCCUGUUUUGUCACCAGCUCAGUCUCUAGCUCAGUUGUCAGCUCUAUUACCUGCUCAGUCAUCCAUUCUGUUACCACCUCAGUUUCUUGCUUCGUUGCCUGUUCAGUUAUCAGCUCAGUCAUUAACUCUGUCACCAGCUCAGUUAGUAGCUCAGCAACCUGUUCAGUCACUGCCAUCCUCUGCUGGAGGCUCUAGUGAGCUAACUCAGCCAGCUGAGGACAGCGUUGUGCUGACAAAGCCUGGACAGACUGUUUGCACGGCACAGCCCAAGCUGUUGCAUCCCAAGCUGGCUGCGUGCCCUGUGCAGCUACAGUUACCGUCCCCUCAGCCAGGGGUGCCCACACCUGCUGGCCCUUCCUCUGUUCCCGCUGGCGGCUCGGGUUCCUACGUUGUUCUAUUAAGAUGUUGCUUAUUUGAUUUCCCCUUGUGACUUUACCCUCUGUGUGCCCCCUCUGUGUAUCUGUGAGUCCUUGUUUUCCCUCCUUGUGUUUUAUUCCAUGUUUUCCCCAGCCUGUUAUGUCUGUGCUCUCCCCGUCCACGCUCUCUCCCCUGAUCUGCCUCCCUGUGCGCUUCCUGUUUUACUUUGAUAGUCUCCCGUCAGUGUGGGUCAGUGUUGUUUGCUCCUGCCGUGUCUCGUUAUGAUUAUCAGUGUCACCUGUGUUCCCCAUGUGCUUCUACUUCCCUCGUUAACCCACUGUGUAUUUAUGUCCACGUCUCCCUCAGUUCUGUGUUGCAUUGUCAAUGUCUCUUUCCUGAACCUGUGUGCCUUUCUGUGUUCCCUUGGUCCUCAGCAGAAGCCUGCAAUAAAGCAAUGACUUUGAGUUCAGCUUUUGUCUCCGUGAGUUUUGCAUUUGGGUCCUCAUCUGCCUCCACACAGCCAGUUCGUGACACUUUGUGUACUCUGUAUUUUGAUUCGUCCUGGCCCAGGGGAAC